rnacentral:rRNA from 1 species
UAGGGAAUCUUCCACAAUGGACGCAAGUCUGAUGGAGCAACGCCGCGUGAGUGAAGAAGGCUUUCGGGUCGUAAAACUCUGUUAUUGAAGAAGAACGUGUGUGACAGUAACUGGUCAUGCAGUGACGGUAUUCAAUCAGAAAGUCACGGCUAACUACGUGCCAGCAGCCGCGGUAAUACGUAGGUGGCAAGCGUUGUCCGGAUUUAUUGGGCGUAAAGCGAGUGCAGGCGGUCUUUUAAGUCUGAUGUGAAAGCCUUCGGCUUAACCGAAGAAGGACAUCGGAAACUGGGAGACUUGAGUGCAGAAGAGGAGAGUGGAACUCCAUGUGUAGCGGUGAAAUGCGUAGAUAUAUGGAAGAACACCAGUGGCGAAGGCGGCUCUCUGGUCUGUAACUGACGCUGAGGCUCGAAAGCGUGGGUAGCAAACAGGAUUAGAUACCCUGGUA